GUCCAGACUCCUACGGGAGGCAGCAGUAGGGAAUCUUUCACAAUGGGCGAAAGCCUGACCCAGCAACGCCGCGUGAAGGAAGAAGGCUUUCGGGUUGUAAACUUCUUUUGACAGGGAAGAGCAGAAGACGGUACCUGACUAAGGAGCCCCGGCUAACUACGUGCCAGCAGCCGCGGUAAUACGUAGGGGGCAAGCGUUAUCCGGAUUUACUGGGUGUAAAGGGAGCGUAGACGGCGGUGCAAGCCAGAUGUGAAAGCCCGGGGCUCAACCCCGGGACUGCAUUUGGAACUGUGCUGCUAGAGUGUCGGAGAGGCAGGCGGAAUUCCUAGUGUAGCGGUGAAAUGCGUAGAUAUUAGGAGGAACACCAGUGGCGAAGACGGCCUGCUGGACGAUGACUGACGUUGAGGCUCGAAAGCGUGGGGAGCAAACAGGAUUAGAUACCCGGGUACUA
rnacentral:rRNA from 1 species